CCGAUCUCGAAAACCUGUCCCAGUUCGGACUGGAGUCUGCAACCCGACUCCACGAAGUUGGAUUCGCUAGUAAUCGCGCAUCAGCCAUGGCGCGGUGAAUACGUUCCCGGGCCUUGUACACACCGCCCGUCAAGCCAUGGGAGCCGGGGGCGCCUGAAGUCCGGGACCGCGAGGACCGGCCUAGGGCGAAACUGGUGACUGGGGCUAAGUCGUAACAAGGUAUC
rnacentral:rRNA from 1 species